UACGUAGGGGGCAAGCGUUGCCCGGAUUUACUGGGCUUAAAGGGCGCGUAGGCGGCUUAUUAAGUCGGUGGUGAAAUACUCUAGCUCAACUAGAGGGGUGCCAUUGAUACUGAUGAGCUUGAGUACAGAUGAGGUAGGCGGAAUUGACGGUGUAGCGGUGAAAUGCGCAGAUAUCAGGAGGAACACCAAUUGCGAAGGCAGCUCGCUGGGACGUUACUGACGCUGAGACGCGAAAGCGUGGGGAGCAAACAGG
rnacentral:rRNA from 1 species